UGCAACUGUUGAACAUGGAUAAGUAGUAUGAAGUGGUCUGGCAGACAAAACUUUGUUGGAAAAGCUAGCAUGGAAAUUGCAUAGAGGCCAAAAGAAAAACGAUAACUUCUAUGCAGUAUGGGGCAAUUUUAUUGAACACACAGGUAGUGAGGCACAUGGGGGAUUAGUGCUUGGGGUGGGUAACAUAGUUUGGAAUACUUGAAAUAUACAUUUUAACCUUUCCAAUUGCUGCAGAUAUAAUGUAUUCCUUCCAUUUAAUGAGAUUGGAGCAGAUGACGUGUUAUUUUCUGGUUUUUAAGAUUAUGAGAAUGUUCGAAUUAUAUGCUGCGGCAAAGAAACUAUUUUUAAAUGGGGGGGAACCUACCUUCCCUUUAACACCAAUGAUCUGGUGGUAGUUUUCUGAACCCUGGGUGAUUUUUUUUAAAUGAAUAGGGUUAAAGAAAGAUAGAAGUGGAGAAGAUAAAGGUGGCUUCUGUUGAAGGCUCAAUGGAUACUUAAUUGGCGGCUUUUCCAAAUGAUGAGGGACAUAUAAGAAGUCCUUUAACUUGGACUGAGGAGGACACACAACAAAAAGGACAGUUGGAGGGGAGGACUUCCUGCAUGAAAGGCAGGGUAGAAAGUAUCUUCCAGGGUGAGAGACUGGGAGACGUAGACUCCCAGGUGGGAGAUGGGAAGAUCUAUUUCUGUAUGUGGAUAAAUGUAUGAUAUAAAUAUGGUAAAGGGCCCUACAUGUAAUAGUAAUAAUAAUAAUAACCCACCCAUCUGGCUGGGUUUCCCCAGCUACUCUGGGCAACUCCCAACAGAAUAUUAAAAACGAUAAAACAUCAAACAUUUAAAACUUCCCUAAACAGGGUUGCCUUCAGAUGUCUUCUAAAAGUCAGAUAGUUGUUUAUUUCCAUGACAUCUGAUGGGAGGGCGUUCCACAGGGCGGGCGCCACUACCGAGAAGGCCCUCUGCCUAGUUCCCUGUAACUUCGCUUCUCGCAGGGAGGGAACCACCAGAAGGCCCUCGGCUCUGGAUCUCAGUGUCCGGGCUGAACAAUGGGGAUGGAGACACCCCUUCAGGUAUACUGGGCCGAGGCCGUUUAGGGCUUUAAAGGUCAGCACCAAUACUUUGAAUUAUGCUUGGAAACGUACUGGGAGCCAUAUAGGUCUUUCAGGACCGGUGUUAUAUGGUCUCUCUCUCUCUCUCUCUCUCUCUCUCUCGUUACGUUUUUUUUUUUUUAAAUAUUCUCAUUCUGUAGUCUAGUUUGAUUCUUAUUGUAUUUUAUCUCAAAAACUGUCAGUAACAAAUAUUUAAAAACGAAAAACAAUGGACACCUUCAUUCACCAAAGCUCCAACCUCCCCAGUGUGCUUUCCCACUUUGGCACCCUAGAUUAAAAGUAGUCAAAUUGCAACGCUCACCAUAAAAUUCUGCAGUAACUAACUCUUUGCUUCCCUUUAGUGGUGCUCUGAUUGUAACGCUGUAUGAGACUGCCCCACUUGGCCUAAUGGUGAGGCCAGUCAUGUAUCCAGUCUUUGCCGAAGUGCCAGAAUUUGACAGGUCCUUCCUUACCUGGAGUAAGUGCUUACCCCGUUAUGUACUUCUCACCUUUAGCCUGACCUACACUCCAACCAGAUGUAGCACAAAAUUAUCCUUUGCACUCACACACUGAAUCUGGAAGCCGUCUUUUUCUGGCUUUAAAGUAACGCCAGAGUUAUUGGAGGUGAAGCAUUCUCAAGCAAAGCACUCAAAUAUGACUUGCAAAUGAUAUACUGUAUUUUUCGCUCUAUAGGACGCACCUUUUCCCCUCCAAAAAUUAAGGGGAAAUGUGUAUGCGUCCUAUAGAGCGAAUGCAGGCUGCGCGGCUAAGCCCAAAGCCAGAACAGAAAGACGGAGCGCUGCUCAGCCUUUGCGCUGCUCCCCGACCUGGUCUUUGAGGCUGGCGGUGGGGGAAAGCAGCGCUUCUCCCCACUGCCAGCCCCACAAGCUCGGGGGGCAGCAGGAAGGCGGCGCGCUGCCUUUGUGCUGCUCCCUGACUUGGUCUUUGGGGCUGGCGGUGGGGAAAAGUAGCGCUUCCCCCCACCGCCAGCCCCACAAGCCUUCCCGUGCGCUGCCUUCCCACUGCUCCCCG